CACCAAUAACCUUUCUGAAGAUGUGAGUACCCUAAGAACACACACUUAAGCGCCUUUGGAUCUAAUUUAGUUACCUGUGGACGAACAUCACGAACAAAACAAGUACAACCAAAUAUUUUGGGUUUAAUAGGAAAUAAUGGCUUAGAGGAAAAAAGAAUAUUAUAAGGAAUAUUACCAUGAAGUACAGAAGAUGUCAUACGAUUUAUUUAAAAACAAGCUGUAGAGACGGCAUCAGCACAAAAACAUCUUGGCACUUUCAUUUGAAAGAGUAGAAAAAAAGAAUGUUAUAAGGAAUACUACCAUGAAAUACAAAAUAUGGCAUACGAUUUAUUAAAAAACAAGUUGUAGAGACGGCAUCAGCCCAAAAACAUUUUGGCACUUUCAUUUGAAAGAGGAGUGCUCGGCCUACUUCAAGAAGAUGUCUAUUUUUUCGUUC
rnacentral:lncRNA from 1 species